rnacentral:rRNA from 1 species
UAGGGAAUCUUCCGCAAUGGACGAAAGUCUGACGGAGCAACGCCGCGUGAGUGAAGAAGGAUUUCGGUUCGUAAAACUCUGUUGUUAGGGAAGAAAAAAUGUAUAGUAACUAUAUACAAAAGAGACGGUACCUAACCAGAAAGCCACGGCUAACUACGUGCCAGCAGCCGCGGUAAUACGUAGGUGGCAAGCGUUGACCGGAAUUAUUGGGCGUAAAGCGCGCGCAGGUGGUUUAGAAAGUCUGAUGUGAAAGCCCACGGCUCAACCGUGGAGGGUCAUUGGAAACUAAUAAACUUGAGUGCAGGAGAGAAAAGUGGAAUUCCUAGUGUAGCGGUGAAAUGCGUAGAGAUUAGGAGGAACACCGGUGGCGAAAGCGGCUUUUUGGCCUGCAACUGACACUGAGGCGCGAAAGCGUGGGGAGCAAACAGG